rnacentral:rRNA from 1 species
AUUGAACGCUGGCGGCAGGCCUAACACAUGCAAGUCGAGCGGAUGAAGGGAGCUUGCUCCUGGAUUCAGCGGCGGACGGGUGAGUAAUGCCUAGGAAUCUGCCUGGUAGUGGGGGAUAACGUCCGGAAAUUUUUUUUUUUUUCGCAUACGUCCUGAGGGAGAAAGUGGGGGAUCUUCGGACCUCACGCUAUCAGAUGAGCCUAGGUCGGAUUAGCUAGUUGGUGGGGUAAAGGCCUACCAAGGCGACGAUCCGUAACUGGUCUGAGAGGAUGAUCAGUCACACUGGAACUGAGACACGGUCCAGACUCCUACGGGAGGCAGCAGUGGGGAAUAUUGGACAAUGGGCGAAAGCCUGAUCCAGCCAUGCCGCGUGUGUGAAGAAGGUCUUCGGAUUGUAAAGCACUUUAAGUUGGGAGGAAGGGCAGUAAGUUAAUACCUUGCUGUUUUGACGUUACCAACAGAAUAAGCACCGGCUAACUUCGUG